rnacentral:lncRNA from 1 species
CCAAACCCUAAUACGCCAGUCAAUCUCCUUCACGGCUUCACGAUCUGUUGAUUCCCUCACGUUAAGCCCUGAUAUUGUUCAACAUUGAACACUGCGUUUUCAGUUUCCAAUCGCAAACCCGUAUAGCUUUCUUCUUAUCCAACGAGCAAUGAUUGAAGGGUAAACAUGGUGCAAAAACUAUAUAAAAGUGGGAAGACAACUGUAAGUUCAUAUGCCGCCUGUGUUGGGAAUACAUUUCAACUUAGCCGGAAGCUUGGCAACGGCUCAUUUGGAGAGAUCUUUAUGAGUUUGUAUGAUGAUCAUUUAGGUUAUGUGUUUAAGAAGUGGUAAAUGAUAUGGUUUUUGUUUGUUUUACAUGAACUAAUAUUCAAAGAAACGAAGAAGUUGCUAUUAGGCUGGAGCGUGGUUGUACUUCUCUUUGAAUAUUGUUUAUUUUCUCUACCUUAAUUGCUUUAAUUGUUAAACUGGCAUUUGUGCUACUUGUAAUU